rnacentral:rRNA from 1 species
GUCUAUGGCCAAACCACCCUGAAUGUGCCUGAUCUCUUCCGAUCUCGGAAGCUAAGCAGGAUUGGGCCUGGUUAGUACUUGGAUGGGAGAAACAAUUGCUCAGCACAUACA